rnacentral:rRNA from 1 species
UACAGGGGGUGCAAACGUUGCUCGGAAUCAUUGGGCGUAAAGCGCGCGUAGGCGGCCCGAUAAGUCUGCUGUGAAAGUCCAGGGCUCAACCCUGGAAUGCCGGUGGAUACUGUCGGGCUAGAGUUCGGAAGAGGCAAGUGGAAUUCCUGGUGUAGCGGUGGAAUGCGCAGAUAUCAGGAGGAACACCUAUAGCGAAGGCAGCUUGCUGGGACGACACUGACGCUAAGGCGCGAAAGCAUGGGGAGCGAACAGG